rnacentral:rRNA from 1 species
UACAGAGGGGGCAAGCGUUAUUCGGAAUUAUUGGGCGUAAAGGGCGCGUAGGCGGCCUUGCAAGUGACGGGUGAAAUCCCCCGGCUUAACCGGGGAACUGCCUGUCAGACUGCUCGGCUUGAGACCGGGAGAGGUGAGUGGAAUUCCCAGUGUAGCGGUGAAAUGCGUAGAUAUUGGGAGGAACACCAGUGGCGAAGGCGGCCCACUGGACCGGUACUGACGCUGAUGCGCGAAAGCGUGGGGAGCAAACAGG